rnacentral:rRNA from 1 species
CUACGGGUGGCACCAGUGGGGAAUUUUGGACAAUGGGGGCAACCCUGAUCCAGCCAUGCCGCGUGAGUGAAGAAGGCCUUCGGGUUGUAAAGCUCUUUCAGCCGGGAAGAAAUCGCAUGGGUCAAUACCCUGUGCGGAUGACGGUACCGGAAUAAGAAGCACCGGCUAACUACGUGCCAGCAGCCGCGGUAAUACGUAGGGUGCGAGCGUUAAUCGGAAUUACUGGGCGUAAAGCGUGCGCAGGCGGAUGCUUAAGUCAGAUGUGAAAUCCCCGGGCUUAACCUGGGAAUUGCAUUUGAAACUGGGUGUCUAGAGUGCGUCAGAGGGGGGUGGAAUUCCACGUGUAGCAGUGAAAUGCGUAGAUAUGUGGAGGAACACCAAUGGCGAAGGCAGCCCCCUGGGAUGACACUGACGCUCAUGCACGAAAGCGUGGGGAGCAAACAGGAUUAGAUACCCCAGUAGUC